ACGAACGCUGGCGGCGUGCUUAACACAUGCAAGUCGAGCGGUAAGGCCUUCGGGUACACGAGCGGCGAACGGGUGAGUAACACGUGGGUGAUCUGCCUCGCACUUCGGGAUAAGCCUGGGAAACUGGGUCUAAUACCGGAUAUGACCGACUGGUGCAUGCUGGUUGGUGGAAAGAUUUAUCGGUGCGAGAUGGGCCCGCGGCCUAUCAGCUUGUUGGUGAGGUAACGGCUCACCAAGGCGACGACGGGUAGCCG
rnacentral:rRNA from 1 species